ensembl:miRNA
ACUUCCUGGUAUUUGAAGAUGCGGUUGACCAUGGUGUGUACGCUUUCUUUAUGACGUAGGACACAUGGUCUACUUCUUCUCAAUAUCA